rnacentral:rRNA from 1 species
UACGAAGGGGGCUAGCGUUGUUCGGAAUUACUGGGCGUAAAGCGCGCGCAGGCGGUCUUCCAAGUCAGUGGUGAAAGCCCGGAGCUCAACUCCGGAACUGCCAUUGAAACUGUUAGACUUGAGGAUGAGAGAGGUGAGUGGAAUUCCCAGUGUAGAGGUGAAAUUCGUAGAUAUUGGGAAGAACACCGGUGGCGAAGGCGGCUUCCUGGCCUGCAACUGACGCUGAGACGCGAAAGCGUGGGGAGCGAACCGG